CUGCUGCCUCCCGUAGGAGUCUGGGCCGUAUCUCAGUCCCAAUGUGGCCGGUCAACCUCUCAGUCCGGCUACUGAUCGUCGCCUAGGUGGGCCGUUACCCCGCCUACUAGCUAAUCAGACGCGAGGCCAUCUUCCAGCGAUAAAUCUUUGACAUUCAAACCAUGCGAUUCAAAUGUGUCAUGCGGUAUUAGCAGUCGUUUCCAACUGUUGUCCCCCUCUGGAAGGCAGGUUCCUCACGCGUUACU
rnacentral:rRNA from 1 species